CCUACGGGAGGCAGCAGUGAGGAAUAUUGGUCAAUGGGCGCGAGCCUGAACCAGCCAAGUCGCGUGAGGGAAGACGGUCCUAUGGAUUGUAAACCUCUUUUGUCGGGGAGCAAAAGACGCCACGCGUGGCGUUUCGAGAGUACCCGAAGAAAAAGCAUCGGCUAACUCCGUGCCAGCAGCCGCGGUAAUACGGAGGAUCCGAGCGUUAUCCGGAUUUAAUGGGUUUAAAGGGUGCGGAGGCGGGAGGAUAAGUCAGCGGUAAAAUUCGGGGGCUCAACCCUCUCGGUGCCGUUGAAACUGGUUUUCUUGAGUGAGUGAGAAGUAGGCGGAAUGCGUGGUGUAGCGGUGAAAUGCAUAGAUAUCACGCAGAACUCCGAUUGCGAAGGCAGCAUACCGGCGCUCAACUGACGCUGAUGCACGAAAGUGUGGGGAUCGAACAGGAUUAGAUACCCGAGUAGUC
rnacentral:rRNA from 1 species